CAUGUGUUACCUUUCCACGUCAGUUUUAAUCUAGCGGCGUACUACAGUACAUGAUAUAUAAGGCAUGAAGAUGUUAUUGUUACAGAUCAGCUAAAUUAUCUAUAGUAAAGGAUCCUACAAAUUAAUGUAAGAUACAGUCACAGAAAAUAAUUAUAUUCAUAAGUACGUCUGAGUCAGUGACAACCCUACAACAGAUGUAUCCAUCGGAUCGCCAUCAAUGAUGGUGAUACAUGGCUGUGUACAUAAUGUAUAUACAACUCGUCUAAACAUCAACC
rnacentral:lncRNA from 1 species